rnacentral:rRNA from 1 species
GACGAACGCUGGCGGCGUGCUUAGCACAUGCAAGCCGAACGAUGAAGCCGGAGCUUGCUCCGGUGGAUUAGUGGCGAACGGGUGAGUAACACGUGAGCAAUCUGCCCUUGACUCUGGGAUAACUGCGGGAAACUGUAGCUAAUACCGGAUACGACACCUUGGGGCAUCCCAGGGUGUGGAAAGAAUUUCGGUCAAGGAUGAGCUCGCGGCCUAUCAGCUAGUUGGUGAGGUAAUGGCUCACCAAGGCGACGACGGGUAGCCGGCCUGAGAGGGGGACCGGCCACACUGGAACUGAGACACGGUCCAGACUCCUACGGGAGGCAGCAGUGGGGAAUAUUGCACAAUGGGCGAAAGCCUGAUGCAGCAACGCCGCGUGAGGGAUGAAGGCCUUCGGGUUGUAAACCUCUUUUAGCAGGGAAGAAGCGAAAGUGACGGUACCUGCAGAAAAAGCACCGGCUAACUACGUGCCAGCAGCCGCAGUAA